rnacentral:rRNA from 1 species
CCUACGGGAGGCAGCAGUGGGGAAUUUUGGACAAUGGGCGCAAGCCUGAUCCAGCAAUGCCGCGUGCAGGAUGAAGGCCUUCGGGUUGUAAACUGCUUUUAUUAGUGAGGAAUAUGACGGUAACUAAUGAAUAAGGAUCGGCUAACUACGUGCCAGCAGCCGCGGUAAUAAUCACUA